AGUGAACGCUGGCGGUAGGCCUAACACAUGCAAGUCGAACGGCAGCACAGUAAGAGCUUGCUCUUACGGGUGGCGAGUGGCGGACGGGUGAGGAAUACAUCGGAAUCUACUUUUUCGUGGGGGAUAACGUAGGGAAACUUACGCUAAUACCGCAUACGGCCUACGGGUGAAAGCAGGGGAUCUUCGGAUCUUGCGCGAUUGAAUGAGCCGAUGUCGGAUUAGCUAGUUGGCGGGGUAAAGGCCCACCAAGGCGACGAUCCGUAGCUGGUCUGAGAGGAUGAUCAGCCACACUGGAACUGAGACACGGUCCAGACUACUACGGGAGGCAGCAGUGGGGAAUAUUGGACAAUGGGCGCAAGCCUGAUCCAGCCAUACCGCGUGGGUGAAGAAGGCCUUCGGGUUGUAAAGCCCUUUUGUUGGGAAAGAAAAGCAGCAGGUUAAUACCCCGCUGUUCUGACGGUACCCAAAGAAUAAGCACCGGCUAACUUCGUG
rnacentral:rRNA from 1 species